UUGAUCAUAGCUCCAUCAGUACAGCAUGAGACUCUUAAUCUCAGGGGCAUGGGUCUGAGCCCCACAGUGAUCAAG